CCGAGUCUUAAUUGGGCGUUAAGUUGCAGGGUAUAGACCCGAAACCCGGUGAUCUAGCCAUGGGCAGGUUGAAGGUUGGGUAACACUAACUGGAGGACCGAACCGACUAAUGUUGAAAAAUUAGCGGAUGACCUGUGGCUGGGGGUGAAAGGCCAAUCAAACCGGGAGAUAGCUGGUUCUCCCCGAAAGCUAUUUAGGUAGCGCCUCGUGAAUUCAUCUCCGGGGGUAGAGCACUGUUUCGGCUAGGGGGCCAUCCCGGCUUACCAACCCGAUGCAAACUGCGAAUACCGGAGAAUGUUAUCACGGGAGACACACGGCGGGUGCUAACGUCCGUCGUGAAGAGGGAAACAACCCAGACCGCCAGCUAAGGUCCCAAAGUCAUGGUUAAGUGGGAAACGAUGUGGGAAGGCCCAGACAGCCAGGAUGUUGGCUUAGAAGCAGCCAUCAUUUAAAGAAAGCGUAAUAGCUCACUGGUCGAGUCGGCCUGCGCGGAAGAUGUAACGGGGCUAAACCAUGCACCGAAGCUGCGGCAGCGACGCUUAUGCGUUGUUGGGUAGGGGAGCGUUCUGUAAGCCUGUGAAGGUGUGUCGUGAGGCAUGCUGGAGGUAUCAGAAGUGCGAAUGCUGACAUAAGUAACGAUAAAGCGGGUGAAAAGCCCGCUCGCCGGAAGACCAAGGGUUCCUGUCCAACGUUAAUCGGGGCAGGGUGAGUCGACCCCUAAGGCGAGGCCGAAAGGCGUAGUCGAUGGGAAACGGGUUAAUAUUCCCGUACUUGGUGUUACUGCGAAGGGGGGACGGAGAAGGCUAUGUUGGCCGGGCGACGGUUGUCCCGGUUUAAGCGUGUAGGCUGGUUUUCCAGGCAAAUCCGGAAAAUCAAGGCUGAGGCGUGAUGACGAGGCACUACGGUGCUGAAGCAACAAAUGCCCUGCUUCCAGGAAAAGCCUCUAAGCAUCAGGUAACAUCAAAUCGUACCCCAAACCGACACAGGUGGUCAGGUAGAGAAUACCAAGGCGCUUGAGAGAACUCGGGUGAAGGAACUAGGCAAAAUGGUGCCGUAACUUCGGGAGAAGGCACGCUGACACGUAGGUGAAGUGAUUUACUCAUGGAGCUGAAGUCAGUCGAAGAUACCAGCUGGCUGCAACUGUUUAUUAAAAACACAGCACUGUGCAAACACGAAAGUGGACGUAUACGGUGUGACGCCUGCCCGGUGCCGGAAGGUUAAUUGAUGGGGUCAGCGCAAGCGAAGCUCCUGAUCGAAGCCCCGGUAAACGGCGGCCGUAACUAUAACGGUCCUAAGGUAGCGAAAUUCCUUGUCGGGUAAGUUCCGACCUGCACGAAUGGCGUAAUGAUGGCCAGGCUGUCUCCACCCGAGACUCAGUGAAAUUGAACUCGCUGUGAAGAUGCAGUGUACCCGCGGCAAGACGGAAAGACCCCGUGAACCUUUACUAUAGCUUGACACUGAACAUUGAGCCUUGAUGUGUAGGAUAGGUGGGAGGCUUUGAAGUGUGGACGCCAGUCUGCAUGGAGCCGACCUUGAAAUACCACCCUUUAAUGUUUGAUGUUCUAACGUGGACCCGUGAUCCGGGUUGCGGACAGUGUCUGGUGGGUAGUUUGACUGGGGCGGUCUCCUCCUAAAGAGUAACGGAGGAGCACGAAGGUUGGCUAAUCCUGGUCGGACAUCAGGAGGUUAGUGCAAUGGCAUAAGCCAGCUUGACUGCGAGCGUGACGGCGCGAGCAGGUGCGAAAGCAGGUCAUAGUGAUCCGGUGGUUCUGAAUGGAAGGGCCAUCGCUCAACGGAUAAAAGGUACUCCGGGGAUAACAGGCUGAUACCGCCCAAGAGUUCAUAUCGACGGCGGUGUUUGGCACCUCGAUGUCGGCUCAUCACAUCCUGGGGCUGAAGUAGGUCCCAAGGGUAUGGCUGUUCGCCAUUUAAAGUGGUACGCGAGCUGGGUUUAGAACGUCGUGAGACAGUUCGGUCCCUAUCUGCCGUGGGCGCUGGAGAACUGAGGGGGGCUGCUCCUAGUACGAGAGGACCGGAGUGGACGCAUCACUGGUGUUCGGGUUGUCAUGCCAAUGGCACUGCCCGGUAGCUAAAUGCGGAAGAGAUAAGUGCUGAAAGCAUCUAAGCACGAAACUUGCCCCGAGAUGAGUUCUCCCUGAGACUUAAAGUCUCCUGAAGGAACGUUGAAGACGACGACGUUGAUAGGCCGGGUGUGUAAGCGCAGCGAUGCGUUGAGCUAACCGGUACUAAUGAACCGUGAGGCUUAACCUUACA
rnacentral:rRNA from 1 species